UACGUAGGGUGCAAGCGUUAUCCGGAAUUAUUGGGCGUAAAGAGCUCGUAGGCGGUUUGUCGCGUCUGCUGUGAAAACCGGAGGCUCAACCUCCGGCCUGCAGUGGGUACGGGCAGACUAGAGUGCGGUAGGGGAGAUUGGAAUUCCUGGUGUAGCGGUGGAAUGCGCAGAUAUCAGGAGGAACACCGGUGGCGAAGGCGGCAUCCUGGACCAACACUGACGCUGAGGAGCGAAAGCCAGGGGAGCAAACGGG
rnacentral:rRNA from 1 species